rnacentral:rRNA from 1 species
UACGUAGGGUGCGAGCGUUGUCCGGAAUUACUGGGCGUAAAGGGCGCGUAGGCGGCCUGUUAAGUCGAACGUGAAAUCCCCGGGCUCAACCCGGGAACUGCGUCCGAUACUGGCAGGCUUGAAUUCGGGAGAGGGAUGCGGAAUUCCAGGUGUAGCGGUGAAAUGCGUAGAUAUCUGGAGGAACACCGGUGGCGAAGGCGGCAUCCUGGACCGAGAUUGACGCUGAGGCGCGAAAGCCAGGGGAGCAAACGGG